rnacentral:rRNA from 1 species
UACGGGGGGAGCAAGCGUUGUUCGGAUUUACUGGGCGUAAAGGGCGCGUAGGCGGUCAGCACAAGUCAGUUGUGAAAUCUCCGGGCUUAACUCGGAAAGGUCAACUGAUACUGUGCGACUAGAGUGCAGAAGGGGCAACUGGAAUUCUCGGUGUAGCGGUGAAAUGCGUAGAUAUCGAGAGGAACACCUGUGGCGAAGGCGGGUUGCUGGGCUGACACUGACGCUGAUGCGCGAAAGCCAGGGGAGCGAACGGG